CCUACGGUGUGCUGCAGUGGGGAAUAUUGGGCAAUGGGCUCAAGCCUGACCCAGCAACGCCGCGUGAAGGAAGAAGGCUUUCGGGUUGUAAACUUCUUUUCUGGGGGACGAACAACUGACGGUACCCCAGGAAUAAGCCACGGCUAACUACGUGCCAGCAGCCGCGGUAAUACGUAGGUGGCAAGCGUUAUCCGGAUUUAUUGGGUGUAAAGGGCGUGUAGGCGGGAAUGCAAGUCAGAUGUGAAAACUCAGGGCUCAACCCUGAGCCUGCAUUUGAAACUGUGUUUCUUGAGUGCUGGAGAGGCAAUCGGAAUUCCGUGUGUAGCGGUGAAAUGCGUAGAUAUACGGAGGAACACCAGUGGCGAAGGCGGAUUGCUGGACAGUAACUGACGCUGAGGCGCGAAAGCGUGGGGAGCAAACAGGAUUAGAUACCCUAGUAGUC
rnacentral:rRNA from 1 species